rnacentral:tRNA from 1 species
GGUUUGUAGCUCAGUGGUAGAGUGCCUGCCUUGCAUGCAAGAAGCACUAGGUUUGAUCCUUAGCACCA